rnacentral:rRNA from 1 species
AUUGAACGCUGGCGGCAUGCUUUACACAUGCAAGUCGAACGGUAACAGGCCUUCGGGUGCUGACGAGUGGCGAACGGGUGAGUAAUGCAUCGGAACGUACCCAGAGGUGGGGGAUAACGCAGCGAAAGCUGUGCUAAUACCGCAUGUGAUCUGAGGAUGAAAGCGGGGGACCGAGCAGCAAUGUUUGGCCUCGCGCCUUUGGAGCGGCCGAUGUCGGAUUCGCUAGUUGGUGGGGUAAAGGCCUACCAAGGCGACGAUCCGUAGCUGGUCUGAGAGGACGACCAGCCACACUGGGACUGAGACACGGCCCAGACUCCUACGGGAGGCAGCAGUGGGGAAUUUUGGACAAUGGGCGCAAGCCUGAUCCAGCAAUGCCGCGUGCGGGAAGAAGGCCUUCGGGUUGUAAACCGCUUUUGGCAGGAACGAAACGGUGUCCGCUAAUACCGGGCGCUAAUGACGGUACCUGCAGAAUAAGCACCGGCUAACUACGUG